GGAUAUGCGGUGAAGUUGGAGAGUUACAGCGGAUUGUAAAUCCGUUCCCACUGGGUGAGUAGGUUCGAAUCCUACCAUAUCCACCA
rnacentral:tRNA from 2 species